rnacentral:rRNA from 1 species
UACGUAGGUGACCAGCGUUGUCCGGAUUUACUGGGCGUAAAGAGCGCGCAGGCGGUCGUUCAAGUCGAGUGUGAAAGCCCCCGGCUCAACUGGGGAGGGUCACUCGAUACUGAUCGACUUGAAGGCAGGAGAGGGAAGCGGAAUUCCCGGUGUAGUGGUGAAAUGCGCAGAUAUCAGGAGGAACACCGGUGGCGAAGGCGGGUCUCUGGGCCGACACUGACGCUGAGGAGCGAAAGCGUGGGGAGCGAACAGG